CCCCCCCCCCCCCCCCCCCAAACCAUCUGGUGUUUAUACUAACCUCUAUCUCCUCUUCAAUAUAGUUGUGGAGGAGACUAAAUGUGGGAGAGAUAUGACAGGAGAUGAGUGGAAGAGAGUGAAAGGGAGAUGCGAGCCCACAAGAGGAGAUGGGUCUAAGGGAGCGCAAACACCGUGACGAAUGUCAAUCUGUCGUUCAUUAUUAGUAUUUUAUUUAACUAGGCAAGUCAGUUAAGAACAAAUUAUUAUUUACAAUGAUGGCCUACCCCGGUCAAUUGUGUGCCGACCAACGGGACUCCCAAUCAUGGUCAGUUGUGAUACAGCCUGGAAUCUAACCAGGGUUUGUAGUGACACGUCUAGCACUGAGAUGCAGUGCCUCAGACCGCUACACCAUUUGUUCGGCGCAACGUGUUUUAGGAAUCACCCCAUCGGUGGGGGUCAAUACCAAACAUUGUAGUGUGAUUCUACAUGGUUUGCAAAUUAUGGCUCACACUCUCUUCAGGAGGUGCUAAGUACUCUGUCGGCAAACGCUACCGGUGUGUCCGUGCCUUAAGGGAGGAAAUAUGGAGUGAUGAACAGAGGAAAGGAGGUAGAUGACAGGUAAAGGAGUGGAAUAGGAACAUCUCUAGUUAUUCUAGCAGACCUCUCCGUUAGUAUAGGUGAGAGCAGCUGGCAUGGAGGCCACUGCUAGCAGGCUGGCGUUGGCAGUGUUGUUGUCAGCAUAUUACAACAGAGACUGGCCAGACAAUACAAGCCCACACAGACUCAUUCAUAACUUGAAAACGCAUUAUAUCAAGAUCAAAUGAGUGACAGCAGCUUUGAACCGACAUAUACACAGAAAACGGACAAGAACAGAUAUAGUUUUGCACACGCACACAGUGAGUUGCAGAGCUUUUAAAUAGCAGAUUCUCUUAUUCCAAAAGAAUGACAUUCUACCCUCCGUCUCCCCUUAGUUCUCCUCUCUCUGUGACGUGCCGUCCCUUAUUGCUCCUCCGUCUCCCCUUAGUUCUCCUCUCUCUGACGUGCCGUCCCUUAUUGCUCCUCCGUCUCCCCUUAGUUCUCCUCUCUCUCAGCGACGUGCCGUCCCUUAUUGCUCCUCCGUCUCCCCUUAGUUCUCCUCUCUCUGACGUGCCGUCCCUUAUUGCUCCUCCGUCUCCCC
rnacentral:lncRNA from 13 species